AACGAACGCUGGCGGCAUGCCUAACACAUGCAAGUCGAACGAGACCUUCGGGUCUAGUGGCGCACGGGUGCGUAACGCGUGGGAACCUGCCCUUAGGUUCGGAAUAACUCCCCGAAAGGGGUGCUAAUACCGGAUAAUGUCUUCGGACCAAAGAUUUAUCGCCUUUGGAUGGGCCCGCGUUGGAUUAGCUAGUUGGUAGGGUAAAAGCCUACCAAGGCGACGAUCCAUAGCUGGUCUGAGAGGAUGAUCAGCCACACUGGGACUGAGACACGGCCCAGACUCCUACGGGAGGCAGCAGUGGGGAAUAUUGGACAAUGGGCGAAUGCCUGAUCCAGCAAUGCCGCGUGAGUGAUGAAGGCCUUAGGGUUGUAAAGCUCUUUUACCCGGGAUGAUAAUGACAGUACCGGGAGAAUAAGCUCCGGCUAACUCCGU
rnacentral:rRNA from 1 species